rnacentral:rRNA from 1 species
AUUGAACGCUGGCGGCAUGCCUUACACAUGCAAGUCGAACGGCAGCACGGGGGCAACCCUGGUGGCGAGUGGCGAACGGGUGAGUAACAUAUCGGAACAUACCCUAGAGUGGGGGAUAACGUAGCGAAAGUUACGCUAAUACCGCAUACGAUCUAAGGAUGAAAGUGGGGGAUCUUCGGACCUCAUGCUCAUGGAGUGGCCGAUAUCUGAUUAGCUAGUUGGUGAGGUAAAGGCUCACCAAGGCGACGAUCAGUAGCUGGUUUGAGAGAACGACCAGCCACACUGGAACUGAGACACGGUCCAGACUCCUACGGGAAGG